rnacentral:rRNA from 1 species
UAGGGAAUCUUCGGCAAUGGGGGGAACCCUGACCGAGCAACGCCGCGUGAGUGAAGAAGGUUUUCGGAUCGUAAAGCUCUGUUGUUAAGGAAGAACGAGUGUGAGAAUGGAAAGUUCAUACUGUGACGGUACUUAACCAGAAAGGGACGGCUAACUACGUGCCAGCAGCCGCGGUAAUACGUAGGUCCCGAGCGUUGUCCGGAUUUAUUGGGCGUAAAGCGAGCGCAGGCGGUUAGAUAAGUCUGAAGUUAAAGGCAGUGGCUCAACCAUUGUAGGCUUUGGAAACUGUUUAACUUGAGUGCAGAAGGGGAGAAUGGAAUUCCAUGUGUAGCGGUGAAAUGCGUAGAUAUAUGGAGGAACACCGGUGGCGAAAGCGGCUCUCUGGUCUGUACCUGACGCUGGGGCUCGAAAGCGUGGGGAGCGAACAGG